GCACUUCUGAACCGUAAUAAAUCAAUGUGACUGUUUAGAUGAGCAGGCUAUAGGGAGAGGGGCAAUACUUUUUAGCACAUUUUUAGGGGUUUUGUGCAAUAUAUUUGAAUCGUAAUUAAUGUGAUUAACUUGACUUGUGUACUGUUGUGGAUGUAUUUGCUGUUUUGUGAUUGGAAUGUGAAUGUUGAUGUGUUGAUGUUGUUGAUGAAUUGAUUGACAAUGGUGGUCCAUGAUUGUCCAAGACAAAUUUCUUCACCUGAAGACAAUAAAGGCUUAUCUUAAUCUUAAUCUUUCUGGGCCCUCCUCACAUGAGUGCCCUGGGUACUCAGUCCCCUUUCUACCCCCAGUCCGACACCCCUGCACUGUAAAAUAAAUUAUUUAAAUUAAAUUAAACAUUUGAGUUAAUACAAUGAAGGAAAUUGGUUUAAUAAAUAGAAACUCAAUAUAUUAUUAUAUCUGAACCACAUACAUUUAAAAAAUGUUGUGAUAAAUCAUAAAAAUAGCACAAUGUGGCAUGUUUCAUAACAAAUAAAACACAAUUACGCAAUAUGUUUACAAAAUCUUUUAAUUAUAUUUGAAUAAAGGGUGAUGUCGAUUCUCAAAAAUGUUCAUUUAACUCAUUUAAUGAACUUAAAAUUUUAAGGCAACCAGUUACCUUACUUUUUAAAUAUUUUUUUACAGUCUGGCAAUAGAUGGGACCAAGCCCAAAUAUGUGUGAAAUCAUUUCACAUUUCACUGAAGUGUUUAAAAUCAAUUUCACCCUCCUCCAAAUAUCAGCCUUUUUGAAUUUUUUUUGUGGAAAAGGCGGUUGGGUACUCUUUCCGGUUACAGCAAGUUGAUUGUGAUAUCCCUCCCCUGUGAAAAACAGUUCUACCUUAAUGGUGAUAAUAAAAAAUCGGGACUGUGUCAAGUAGACAUUGUUUUGAAUAAAUUUUAAAACUUUUAUAACAUGGUACUGAGUUUUUUUUUUUAUUGAUCAAACAUGCUCGGAAUACAAGUUUCUCCAGUUCUGUGGCGGACGGAUAUGUGACUGCAGUCCGCACCUGGAACUUAGGCUGUUUCGCACUUUCCUGUGUUGCACUUGCCGUCCCCAUCAAGGAGUUUGUAAGUAUUGUAAUAUUGGUAAUACUAAUAGUGAGUGAUUGCUGAGAGGAGCUGCAGUAAGUCGGCUGUCAAGGCUGUUUUAUUCAAAAACAUCGGAUGAAGUGAUUAUUUUCUCUUUAAUGCUGACGGUGCUGAGUAAUUAGUCAUAACAACAACAACAACAAAAAAAAAGAUGAUAACUGAUGAUUUUUUUCUGUGAGUCCAAUAUUUUAGCGAUGAUGUUACCUAGCGUGUUUGCUAGCUUGUUUACCAUAGCUUGUUGGAUACUCAGUCACCCACACCAACAACAACUAACAUUGUGAUAAGCAUAUGUGAACUGUAAUAAGGCUAAUAGAUUUACUGUUGUGUGUUGGGUUAUGCUCAGUGUGUAUUCAUCGUAUUUUGGUGACUUGGUUGUAAACAACUUCAAAAAAAAAAAAAAAAAAAAAAAGAUUUUGAAGAAGAAUAUUUAGGCCAAUUUAGUCAGUUUUUUCAUUGAACCAAAGAGAAACAAUGAGCAUAAUGGCAGUCUCCAUGCUACACUAAUAAUAGUAGGUUUUCUUCUGUGUAAUAUAACAUAUCCUUUAUAAGUAAAAUUUUGGCUGUAUUAUUUGCGUCCCCUUCAAAAAUUGCUCCUAAGAAAUUUUAUGUUUAUUGUCCCCCCCUACUGUCAGAUGAAAUUUAUGUCCCUGGUUAGCUGUCUGAACACCAGAGACAAACGGUUUUAUCACCCGUUAAAGACAAAAAAGUCAUCGAAUUUUAGCUUAAAGUGUCAGACUCACAUUAGCUGCUUGUAUAGCAUCCACGCUAACAUGGUUCAAAGACCAAGAUACUUUGUUCAAAGACCAAAAUCAGGCUAUGUAUAAAAUUAAAUGAAAUAACUGAAAUGUGACCCAUGCUAAUUAAUUCCUCCCCUCCUUUCUCUCUUCUCUCUUUUAUCUUUUAUCAGAAUCCCUCAUUCAUCAAAGCAGCUACCAAGAGAAAUGGCUUAUUUAAGAAUGUGGAGAAAACGUAAAGCAGAUAUCAAUGAACUUCUCCAGUCUGAAAACGACAAUGCGGUGACAAUCGACAACGCAGUCAUGACAAAUGACAGAGAGGAAACAACCAAUGAUGAUGGUGGAAGCAAUACUGAUGACCACAGCACCAUUGUGACCACUGAUGGUUCAGACUUUGACACCGACAUCGGAAUGUUUGACUCAGAUGUGGAGAUUUUGAAUCCCGAACCAGAGGCCCAAGUUAGAAACCUAGGCAAUGACUUGCGAGAGUGGAGUACAAGACACCAAAUUACUAAUAGGUCCCUAAAUGAAUUAUUGCAAAUGCUAAGGGAUCAUGGACAUGUAGUCCCCAAAGAUUCACGCACAUUACUAGCCACUCCUCAAGUCAUUGACAGCCAUUCAAAAUGCAAUGGACAGUAUGUAUACAAUGGCUUGGAGGGGGGCAUUUCCAGUAUACUGUGUCAAAAUGAUGCUUUCAGGUGACAACACAGUACGGUCAGUUUGGAUGUCAACAUUUAUGGACUACCAAUCUUUAAAAGUAGCAAAAUCCAGUUCUGGCCAAUACUGGUGAAAUUUAACAAUUUCAGUCCAUUUAUUGUGGCAUUAUACUGUGGGGAAAGCAAGCCUGAGCCCCUUGAUGAGUAUCUCCAUGACUUUUUGGAGGAGUUCAAUAAUCUCCAACAGAAUGGUCUGGUGAUUCGUGACAAAAAGUAUGCAGUAAAUAUUCAUACCUUUGUUUGUGAUGCACCGGCAAGAGCAUAUUUAAAAUGCAUUAAAGGUCAUACUGCAUAUGACAGUUGUGAGAGGUGCCAAGUGAAAGGCCAGUAUGUUGAAAGAAGAGUCGUCUUCAAUCAGCAGACAUCCACUUUGCGCACAGAUGAAGCAUUUAGUCAGAUAGAGUAUUCCCGCCAUCAAAAUGGGUCUAGCCCUUUAAUAGCUGCUGGGAUUCUCUGUGUCAGUGCCUUUGUGUUAGACUAUAUGCAUACGAUUUGCUUGGGUGUUGUUAGGUGGCUGCUGGUGUAUCUGACUAGAGGCCCAAAACUGUGUAGGCUUUCUGUGAGACAGAAAAUUGAAAUCUCACAAAAACUGAACAUGCUACGAGGCCAUAUGCCCAGCGAGUUUGCGCGACAGCCCCGUGGCCUUAAGGAUUCAAAGGAUCUGACCUGUCUGAGGCGACUGCUGAGGGGGAGGAUAAAGAAGAGAGGAAAGGAGAUGCCAGUCCCGAAAUUCCAGUCUUUCCCACCCCACCAAUCAAAAUGUCAAAGAAUGGUUCACCCAGGUCUGUGGGCCAGGAAAAGUUAACUAGUUGUACAUCCAGGACUGUGGACCGCGACAGUUCAACUAGUGGUUCGUCAAGGUCCAGGUCCAGGUCCAGGUCCGUGGGCCGGGACAGUCCAAGUAGUUGUUCCUCCAGGUCUGUGAGCCGGGACAGUUCAAGUAGUCGUGUACCCAGGUCUCAGGCUGUGGAGAGCAGGUCCAUAGAUGGUCUUUCACAUGCAAGGUCCAUUUCCAAUAGGGAUGUGCCAACCACAUUCCCGCUGUCAGAAGCAAAGUUCCAGAAAAUCGUACUUACAAAGCUGGUGACUCUCACUGAUGAAGUCAGAAAACUGCAGAGGAGCGGACCUCAAUCUGGAAUUGAAAUAAAGAAGAUGGACACCUUGGAAGAGUUCCAGAGGGAGGAGGCUUCUCUUCUGAAACCACACAAAUUUGAAACCUUGGUUUGUCAGCUGGCAAGAGUGGGGGGAGAGAUGUUAAGGACUGUACGCACAAAGUGAUGGACAGGUAUUUAUUUACACAUUUACUUAACAGACAUAGGUCUUUAGACAUUUGACCAGAACAAUUGAUCAUGUUAGUUCAGCUCUGCUUUGGUUUUCUUGUGUCCCCAGUUUGUUUUCAUUUGGUGGUUGACAGAGUUUAGUUGAUGGUUUAAGUAAGGAGCAGGACUACGCUUGGCGAUAUGGAUAAAAAAAAUCAUAUCGGUGUUUUUUGGCUCAAUGGUGAUAAAAUAUAAAACUGUAUAUCGUUUUUUUUUUUAAUGAAAAUGGAUAAAUAUGUAGUUGUAAGUCAAAGCCACGUGUGAGAUAUCAUACGCACUAUGAAAUCCCGAUAUGGAUUUUUUUGAGCCGAUGCCGAUUUAAAGGGACUCAGAAAUGCCGAUUACCGAUUAAUCGGCCGAUGUUUACUUUUUUAUUUAUAAAGAAGUGUGUAAAUGUUGUUCAUAUGCAGGAUGCACAAUUAAUGCAUAAAAGGGCUGUACUCUGUUUUUAAACCAUAAUAAUAGCCAUUUAUUUUGUACAGGUUGACAACAAGGCGCUGGCCUUUAGGUUUACAUUCCCCUCGCUAUUUUCUUGAUAUCAAGUCAACCCCAAAACAC